rnacentral:rRNA from 1 species
UACGUAGGGUGCGAGCGUUAAUCGGAAUUACUGGGCGUAAAGCGUGCGCAGGCGGUGAGUUAAGUCUGAUGUGAAAGCCCCGGGCUCAACCUGGGAAUUGCGCUUGAAACUAGCGGGCUCGAGUGUGGCAGAGGGGGGUGGAAUUCCACGUGUAGCAGUGAAAUGCGUAGAUAUGCGGAGGAACACCGAUGGCGAAGGCAAUCCCCUGGGCCUGCACUGACGCUCAUGCACGAAAGCGUGGGGAGCAAACAGG